rnacentral:lncRNA from 1 species
UAGGAAUUCUGCUGUUGUUGGCUGCUACAUUUCACUCACUGAAAAUGUAUGAAAAUUCAUCAUGGCCAAAGGAUUGAUCGUUAGAGUAUAUCUCCAGCAGACAAGCACACACGGCACCAGACCCGGCAUCGCUUUUUUUAGCUAUGGCACAAGAAAUCGAGCCCCAGCAGACUCGCCAACGGCUUCGCCAUCCCUGUUGCGCACGCUAUCGUCGGAGUUCGGCAAGAAGCCAAAUCUGGCGGGACGGUUUGGCUAUGUGUCGAUGACUCACCGUGGCGUUCCUGUCUUGCUUUUAUGGCGGCCAAAGAUCACGAAGACGAUGUUCCAGUUCCUCUGCCAAGGAAGGCCGGCCAUGCGUGUAAUCCAGCCGUGUUGAAGGUUCGCCGGCCCUUCCCUGCAUCCCUGAUGAU